rnacentral:tRNA from 1 species
GCCUGGGUGGCUCAGUCAGUUGAGCAUCCGACUUCAGCUCAGGUCAUGAUCUCACAGCUCGUGGGUUCAAGCCCCGCAUCAGGCU